GAUGAACGCUGGCGGCGUGCCUAAUACAUGCAAGUAGAACGCUGAAGGAGGAGCUUGCUCUUCUGGAUGAGUUGCGAACGGGUGAGUAACGCGUAGGUAACCUGCCUGGUAGCGGGGGAUAACUAUUGGAAACGAUAGCUAAUACCGCAUGACAACAGUUAUUGCAUGAUAACUGUUUAAAAGGGGCAACUGCUCCACUACCAGAUGGACCUGCGUUGUAUUAGCUAGUUGGUGAGGUAACGGCUCACCAAGGCGACGAUACAUAGCCGACCUGAGAGGGGGAGCGGCCACACUGGGACGGAGACACGGCCCAGAUGCCUACGGGAGGCAGCAGUAGGGAAUCUUCGGCAAUGGACGGAAGUCUGACCGAGCAACGCCGCGUGAGUGAAGAAGGUUGUCGGAUCGUAAAGCUCUGUUGUAAGAGAAGAACGAGUGUGAGAGUGGAAAGUUCACACUGUGACGGUAUCUUACCAGAAAGGGACGGCUAACUACGUG
rnacentral:rRNA from 1 species